UGUAAAUUUCCAUGGUUUCAUGUGGCCUAUUAUUCAGUUAUUUCCAACCUUUGCAAGUUUGAUGACAUACACUUCCUCUCCAACUUUUAAACAUCAUGGAGAAAAAAGAAUUCAUUUGAAUCAGUUCUAAUGAGAUGGAUGAAACUGGAGCCCAUUAUACAGAGCGAAUUUGAUUUGCUGUUCCUUCCACUGAGAGUUAAAGUCUACUUCUCUACUUGAAUCCUGGACUUGGUGACUUCCUUCCACCAAUGGGAUGGUACAACUGUGGCACAAACGGAAGUUGAAAAGCAAUUGCAGGAUUUCCCUCUUGGCUCAGUGAUAGGACCAGCCUCCUGGAAGAUGAGAGAUCAUGUGGAGAAGACUCUGGAAACCAUCCUAGCUGAGGCCCCAGAUAUGUGAGUGAGGCCAUUCUAAACCCUCCAGUACCAGCUAAGCUGGCCCAGAUGAGAACUGACCAGCCAACUCUCAGAAUUCUAAGAAAUAAUAAAUAUUUGUUGUUUUAA